rnacentral:rRNA from 1 species
CCUACGGGAGGCAGCAGUGGGGAAUAUUGGACAAUGGGCGCAAGCCUGAUCCAGCAAUGCCGCGUGAGUGAUGAAGGCCUUAGGGUCGUAAAGCUCUUUUACCAGGGAUGAUAAUGACAGUACCUGGAGAAUAAGCUCCGGCUAACUCCGUGCCAGCAGCCGCGGUAAUACGGAGGGAGCUAGCGUUGUUCGGAAUUACUGGGCGUAAAGCGUACGUAGGCGGUUAUUCAAGUCAGAGGUGAAAGCCCGGGGCUCAACCCCGGAACGGCCUUUGAAACUAGGUAGCUAGAAUCUUGGAGAGGUCAGUGGAAUUCCGAGUGUAGAGGUGAAAUUCGUAGAUAUUCGGAAGAACACCAGUGGCGAAGGCGACUGACUGGACAAGUAUUGACGCUGAGGUACGAAAGCGUGGGGAGCAAACAGGAUUAGAUACCCUGGUAGUCCACGCCGUAAACGAUGAUAACUAGCUGUCCGGGCACUUGGUGCCUGGGUGGCGCAGCUAACGCAUUAAGUUAUCCGCCUGGGGAGUACGGUCGCAGAUUAAAACUUAAAGGAAAUUGACGG